rnacentral:rRNA from 1 species
UACGUAGGGGGCUAGCGUUGUCCGGAUUUAUUGGGCGUAAAGAGCGUGUAGGCGGCCAGGUAGGUCUGCUGUGAAAACUCGAGGCUCAACCUCGAGACGUCGGCGGAAACCAUCUGGCUAGAGUCCGGAAGAGGAGAGUGGAAUUCCUGGUGUAGCGGUGAAAUGCGCAGAUAUCAGGAAGAACACCAGUGGCGAAGGCGGCUAUCUGGACGGUUUUCUGACGCUAAGACGCGAAAAGCGUGGGGGAGCAAACAGG